UAGGGAAUCUUCCACAAUGGACGCAAGUCUGAUGGAGCAACGCCGCGUGAGUGAAGAAGGUUUUCGGACCGUAAAGCUCUGUUGUUGGUGAAGAAGGAUAGAGGUAGUAACUGGCCUUUAUUUGACGGUAAUCAACCAGAAAGUCACGGCUAACUACGUGCCAGCAGCCGCGGUAAUACGUAGGUGGCAAGCGUUGUCCGGAUUUAUUGGGCGUAAAGCGAGCGCAGGCGGAAGAAUAAGUCUGAUGUGAAAGCCCUCGGCUUAACCGAGGAAUUGCAUCGGAAACUGUUUUCUUGAGUGCAGAAGAGGAGAGUAGAACUCCAUGUGUAGCGGUGGAAUGCGUAGAUAUAUGGAAGAAUACCAGUGGCGAAGGCGGCUCUCUGGUCUGCAACUGACGCUGAGGCUCGAAAGCAUGGGUAGCGAACAGGAUUAGAUACCCUGGUAGUCCAUGCCGUAAACGAUGAGUGCUAAGUGUUGGGAGGCUUCCGCCUCUCAGUGCUGCAGCUAACGCAUUAAGCACUCCGCCUGGGGGAGUACGACCGCAAGGUUG
rnacentral:rRNA from 1 species